UACGUAGGGUGCGAGCGUUAAUCGGAAUUACUGGGCGUAAAGUGUGCGCAGGCGGCCGAGCAAGUCGAGUGUGAAAGCCCCGAGCUUAACUUGGGAACUGCGCUCGAAACUACUUGGCUAGAGUGUGGCAGAGGGAGGUGGAAUUCCACGUGUAGCGGUGAAAUGCGUAGAGAUGUGGAGGAACACCGAUGGCGAAGGCAGCCGCCUGGGCCAACACUGACGCUCAUGCACGAAAGCGUGGGGAGCAAACAGG
rnacentral:rRNA from 1 species